rnacentral:lncRNA from 1 species
CGUGCCUUUUUGCGCUCGUUCAUGUUGUUGAUCGGAGUUUUGAAAAUUCGUGGAAGUAUUUAAAAAGCGCCCUGUACAGAUUAUAUGUCAAAUCAUGGCUUCUCCACCUGUUUCCAUGUUGUCUGCUGUUGAAAGAACAUCUAUGAGGGACUGUGAAUAGAAUCUUUAUCUUCUGCUUAUAUACAACACUUACUCAUGGGCCAGUGGCACAAUUUCUAGCUGUACAAGGAUAUCAUGGUGUUUGAUAAGUUGAUGACAAUGAAACUAAUGACCAUGUUAACAUCAGAGGAAAAGCAAACUGGGAGAAGAAAGGACAACAUUGUUUUCGAUCUUGAAGGCCUGCGUAGACAUAGGACCAGGAAGGGGAGCUAGGAGUGGGAGAAGUGCCUGUGACUGAUAUAUGCACUAUCAGAUAGAAAUCCAGUUCAAAAGGAAAUCGGAAAUAGUGAAAUAGCAGAAAUCAUGACUUACAUACUGUAUAAUCUGCUCUAAAACACAAACAUUUGAAUUUAAAAUGUGUUAAAUGCAAAACAGUUCUAC